rnacentral:rRNA from 1 species
CUUUGUGUUUAGUAUAAAUAAAGAAAAACUGUUGUUUGUUAAAGUGAAUUAGUACUGUGGAGGAAUUGAUGAAAUAAAAAUUAAUUUAAUUNNNNGUAAGUAUGUUUAUUUUGCAGUCCUUUUGUAUCAGGGUGAUCAAAUAGAUUAAUUUAUUUUUAUAUCUCGAUUUUAAAUGAUCUAAUUUAUUAUUUUAGUUAAUGUGGAAUAAUUAUUGGUAAUAUAAAUUAGGGGAGAAAUUUUAUUCGAAUUUAAAGGUAUCUAGUUUUUUAAGAAAUAAAUUUAAUUUAAUUUCAUUAUUUAAUUGUUGUAUAGUUGCAUAUAUUAUUGGAUGAAUUAAAAAUUAUAGGGGAUAAGCUCUAUAUUUUUUCUAUAAUUUUUUUAAUUAAUUAAUUUUUGUAGGUUUAAGAUUAUUCAUCAUUAGAAAGUGUGUUAUAAUUUAUUUUUGUUAUUAAUUAAUUUUAUUAUAUUUAGUUUAAUAUUAAAAUAUUGGGUUAAAUAAAAUAUCUUGAGUAAUAAUGAUUAAAUUAGUAUAGAUUAUUGUUUAUAUGAUUGUUUAUUUUAUGAUAAAAUAAGGAACUCGGCAAAUAUAGUUCUCGCCUGUUUACCAAAAACAUGGCCUUUUGGAGUUAAUUGAAGGUCUGACCUGCCCAGUGAUGAAUUUAACGGCCGCGGUAUAUUGACCGUGCAAAGGUAGCAUAAUCAUUAGUCUUUUAAUAGAGGGCUGGAAUGAAAGGUUUAACGAGGAACUAACUGUCUCAUUUUAUUUGUUUUAAAAUUUAAUUUUUUAGUUAAAAAGCUAAAAUUUUAUUGGAAGACGAGAAGACCCUAUAGAUCUUUACAUGGGCUAAAUUAAAUAUUUUUAUAUUAAUAGUUUAUUUUUGUUUGUGUUUUGUUGGGGUGACAAAAAUAUAUAUAUAACUUUUUUAAUUAUUUAACAUUGAUUUAUGAUUAUUAGAUCCAUUAUUAUUGAUUGAUAGAUUAAGUUACCUUAGGGAUAACAGCGUAAUCCUCCCCCAGAGUUCAUAUUUACGGGAUGGGCUUGCGACCUCGAUGUUGGAUUAAGAUUAUAAUUAGGUGUAGCCGCUUAGUCAAUAGGUC